rnacentral:rRNA from 1 species
GACAGAGGGUGCAAACGUUGUUCGGAAUUACUGGGCGUAAAGCGCGUGUAGGCGGCUAAGCAAGUCGGGCGUGAAAUCCCACCGCUCAACGGUGGAAGUGCGCCCGAAACUGCAUAGCUAGAGUCCUGGAGAGGAAGGUGGAAUGCUUGGUGUAGAGGUGAAAUUCGUAGAUAUCAAGCGGAACACCGGUGGCGAAGGCGGCCUUCUGGACAGUGACUGACGCUGAGACGCGAAAGCGUGGGGAGCAAACAGG